GCGAGAAGGAAGGAGGUGCACAAUUGUAGCAUUUUGAGGAAGAAAAAUAAAUGAGAGAGAAGUGUAGAUGGAAGGAAAGGAGGAAACACUUUAGUAGAAUUUCCGCUGUAUAAUAAUAAAGUGCUUAUUACCAACGUGAUUCUGCAGUUCCACCGGUGGUUGAAACAAUGGUGCUGUGCUUUCCCUCAACACCUAAGAAACUGGCCAUGACCAUAGCAUGCUUCCUCUCUGGUGCUGCCAUUCUUGCUGUUGGGGCGCACCUUUCUUAUGUCAAUGUUGCACCCCAACAGGCUCGAACCAAAGCUCGCAAUGAUUUUGUCAUGGAGACGUUGAAAAAGAAGUAUGGUUACACUUCCCCUUAUGAGAACUUGGCUCGCAACGAUCCUUAUGAUAAGAGAUCACAGAUAUCUUCCACUAGAGACAAAGCUGAUUAUGCUCGGGCUCGCAGUGAUUUGGUCAAAGAGACAUUUAGUAACCUUGGAUUUAAAAAGUAGAAGAGAGGUUCUGAAAGCUUUGGUUUUCAUUCUUGCUCAUUUGAACCCCUUUCUCAUUCUGUUUCUUAAAUCAAUGAAGAAUAAAUGCUUAUUGCUAAUGCUAGCAAGGGGCACAUCUUCCAUGUUUAUAGCAGUAACUACAUGAGUUUCUGCGAUGUUUAUAGCUUCACUCUGGUAUGAAAUUUCUCAUUUUUUGGUCCA